UCACACAGGCUUCCCAGGCAUCUUCCUGACAUAGGCUCUGCCCUUCACUGGCAGCCUGGUGUGGCGGGUGUGGGGGAGGCCGGGAGACACUUUUAGAUGUGCCCAGUGCGUGGCACUGCCAGGAGGAGGGCGGCAGCGGCCACUUAGCACUUCGCUCCCCGUUGAGCUAAAGACUGGGGAAGAGAAGUGGAAGGCAAGAGGCGAGAAAAGCAUCUGCGGGCUUGGAGGAGGUGCAGAGGAGGACAGCACUUCCGAAAGGCUGCGUGCCUUGGUUUCCUUCAGUCAUCGGAGCUCUCGCUUUUGUCUUUAAAAGAUAUUUCCAAUCAGAAGCUCAUCUGAACGAGAACAAGAAAGCAGGAAGCACACUUUGUGAGUUGCAAGGAGGAGCCCGGGGAAGGGUCUGUCUAGCGCCUGUUUGAGGAGUCAGGACAUCGGGCCCAGCAAGGCCUCCUGAGAGGCUAUUUCUCACCUCCCACCGCACUGGGAAGCUGGUGUCACAAAGUCUGCCAGGCUGUUUCUGGCUCCAGGGCUGCAUUUGGCUGGCAUUUUAUUUAGCUUGUGACAUUCUUGGCUGUUCUUAUUCUGGUGGGCAUCAACACUGCUCGGAUCUGCUGAAUUUAGAGUCCUCUCAGAAUCCCUUUGUUUCAAGAUGGCUUCACAGCCACCCCCGCCCCUGACCCAGUUUAAAUAGCCAAGUGUGUGUAUUCCGGAGUCACAGUUCUGGACCUGUAGACAUCGAGGCCCCAUGAAACAUUGUGGCUGCAUUUACAGCAGGUCCCUGUGCAAGGCUAUAGGCAAAGCUUUCGGAAGGAGGAACCAGGGAAUGUUCGUGUGCAAAACGUGCUUGGCAUGCUCUGGAAUUCCAUCAGGCCCGCCGGCCCCGAAGCAGCCUCCUGCUGGCCCUCACGCUGCGGGGGAUUCAUGUGGUCUGCACGGUCUGCGGUUCAGCAGGGGGCCUGCCGCACUGCAUUUCUCACAAGCUCCUGGUGGACAUCUGUGCCACUGACCUGAGGACCACUCUCAGGACAGCAAAGCUGACAUUGGUGAAAGGGUGGUGGCCUACGAGAAAGCUUCCAAAAUGGAAAUUCUGACAACUUCCUGGGGACUGCUCUCCUGAAAAUGAAAAUGAAAAUGAAAAAGAUUCUUCUCAGAGUGUCUUGGAGGGGAACAGAAGAAAUAAUAUGCAAGCAUGAAAAAAAUUAAAAUUGACAUCAAAUGUUUACCAAGAGCAACUUCAGAGAGGUCAAUCUACCCAGAAGAUGAAAUCACAGACCAGAAGGUUUCUAUGGUUAAGUCAAAUCAGAAAGAGGAAAUUCAAGGUUGCUAAAUACUCACUUAAAAGCUACUAAAGUAGAUCUCUUCCACUUUAAGUGAUCUUUAAAGGUCAUUUAGUAUGAGGACACAUUUAUCCCCACACAUGGAGAAGAAACUGGCAAUGAAUGAAUUCCUCCUUUCCACUUUUCCCCUUUCUGUAUUAUUUCCCAGAAAGUUCCAUUAUUAAACCACUUUGAAAUGUGAUGAUAUUUGAAAUUAUACUCUGUCUUAAAACA